rnacentral:rRNA from 1 species
AGCUCCAAUAGUGUAUAUUAAAGUUGUUGCGGUUAAAAAGCUCGUAGUUGGAUUUUGGAGUCGGCACCGUCGGUCCGGUGUAAACCGCGAACUGACAGUGAGGCUCUUCUGUCCGGCGCGCCGUGGUGAUCACUUCAAUGGGAUGCCACGGGGCUCUGGGACCUUUACUUUGAACAAAUUAGAGUGUUUAAAGCAGGCGGACUCGCCUUGAAUACAUUAGCAUGGAAUAAACACAUAGGACUUCGGUUUCAUUUGUUGGUUCACGGAGCCGAAGUAAUGAUUAAUAGGGACAGUUGGGGGCAUUCGUAUUUAGUAGCUAGAGGUGAAAUUCUUAGAUUUGCGAAAGACGAACUACUGCGAAAGCAUUUGCCAAGGAUGUUUUCAUUA